rnacentral:rRNA from 1 species
UGCAAGUCGAACGAGAUCUUCGGAUCUAGUGGCAGACGGGUGAGUAACGCGUGGGAACCUGCCCAGUAGUAGAGAAUAACUUGGGGAAACUUAAGCUAAUACUUUAUACGUCCUUCGGGAGAAAGCUUUAUGCGCUAUUGGAUGGGCCCGCGUUAGAUUAGUUUGUUGGUGAGGUAAUGGCUCACCAAGGCGACGAUCUAUAGCUGGUCUGAGAGGAUGAUCAGCCACACUGGGACUGAGACACGGCCCACACUCCUACGGGAGGCAGCAGUGGGGAAUAUUGGACAAUGGGGGCAACCCUGAUCCAGCGAUGCCGCGUGAGUGAUGAAGGCCCUAGGGUUGUAAAACUCUUUCGUCAGGGAAGAUAAUGACGGUACCUGAAGAAGAAGAUCCGGCUAACUCCGUGCCAGCAGCCGCGGUAAUACGGAGGGAUCUAGCGUUAUUCGGAAUUACUGGGCGUAAAGCGAGCGUAGGCGGAUUUGUAAGUUGGAGGUGAAAUCCCAGAGCUUAACUCUGGAACUGCCUUCAAAACUACAUUUCUUGAGUUUGGUAGAGGAGAGUGGAAUUCCUAGUGUAGAGGUGAAAUUCGUAGAUAUUAGGAGGAACACCAGUGGCGAAGGCGACUCUCUGGGCCAAUACUGACGCUGUGGUUCGAAAGCAUGGGUAGCGAACAGGAUUAGAUACCCUGGUAGUCCAUGCAGUAAACGAUGAGUGCUAGAUGUUGGGUAUUUAAAUUUCCAGUAUCGCAGUUAACGCGUUAAGCACUCCGCCUGGGAAGUACGGCCGCAAGGCUAAAACUCAAAUGAAUUGACGGGGACCCGCACAAGCGGUGGAUCAUGUG